GCGGGCAUAGCUGAGGUGGUACAGCGUCUGCCUUCCAAGCAGAAGACCACGGGUUCGAGUCCCGUUGCCCGCU
rnacentral:tRNA from 1 species